rnacentral:rRNA from 1 species
GACGAACGCUGGCGGCGUGCUUAACACAUGCAAGUCGAGCGGUAAGGCCCUUUCGGGGGUACGACGAGCGGCGAACGGGUGAGUAACACGUGGGUGACCUGCCCUCAGCUCUGGGAUAAGCCUGGGAAACCGGGUCUAAUACUGGAUACGACUCCAUGACGCAUGUUGUGGGGUGGAAAGCCUUGUGCGGCUGAGGAUGGGCCCGCGGCCUAUCAGCUUGUUGGUGGGGUGANGGCCUACCAAGGCGACGACGGGUAGCCGGCCUGAGAGGGCGACCGGCCACACUGGGACUGAGACACGGCCCAGACUCCUACGGGAGGCAGCAGUGGGGAAUCUUGCGCAAUGGGCGAAAGCCUGACGCAGCGACGCCGCGUGAGGGAUGACGGCCU